GGAGGGGACUAGCGUUGUUCGGAAUUACUGGGCGUAAAGCGCGCGUAGGCGGAUUUGCAAGUCGGGGGUGAAAGCCCGAGGCUCAACCUCGGAACUGCCUUCGAUACUGCAAAUCUCGAGUCCGAGAGAGGUGAGUGGAAUUCCUAGUGUAGAGGUGAAAUUCGUAGAUAUUAGGAAGAACACCAGUGGCGAAGGCGGCUCACUGGCUCGGUACUGACGCUGAGGCGCGAAAGCGUGGGGAGCAAACAGGAUUAGAUACCCUGGUAGUCCACGCCGUAAACUAUGGGUGCUAGCCGUCGGUCGGCAUGCCGGUCGGUGGCGCAGCCAACGCAUUAAGCACCCCGCCUGGGGAGUACGGUCGCAAGAUUAAA
rnacentral:rRNA from 1 species